rnacentral:rRNA from 1 species
GACGAACGCUGGCGGCGUGCUUAACACAUGCAAGUCGAACGGAAAGGCCCUGCUUUUGUGGGGUGCUCGAGUGGCGAACGGGUGAGUAACACGUGAGUAACCUGCCCUUGACUUUGGGAUAACUUCAGGAAACUGGGGCUAAUAACGGCUAGGAGCUCCUGCUGCAUGGUGGGGGUUGGAAAGUUUCGGCGGUUGGGGAUGGACUCGCGGCUUAUCAGCUUGUUGGUGGGGUAGUGGCUUACCAAGGCUUGGACGGGUAGCCGGCCUGAGAGGGUGACCGGCCACAUUGGGACUGAGAUACGGCCCAGACUCCUACGGGAGGCAGCAGUGGGGAAUAUUGCACAAUGGGCGGAAGCCUGAUGCAGCAACGCCGCGUGCGGGAUGACGGCCUUCGGGUUGUAAACCGCUUUCGCCUGUGACGAAGCGUGAGUGACGGUAAUGGGUAAAGAAGCACCGGCUAACUACGUG